CUUGGAAGUUGUUAGGGCCUGCUUUUGUUGAGAGUAGGGCUUUGCGGUUCUGGUUUGCAGUUCUGGCACCACUCCGGCCCUGCUCCCUUACUUCUCUCUGCCACACGACUCAGCUUUGGCACCCGGAACCAAAGCUGAUGGGGGAACCUAACCUCUAUGUGGAGUGUAUCCGUCUCAUGGGAGAAAGAAAGAGAUAAGGCAAAUGAUGUCCUGACUUAUAAAGCUUUGCGCAAAAGAGACCAACACCAUUUCUUUGGUUAAACAAGUCAUAUGACCAUUCCUAAGGUCAACAGCAUGGGACUAUGUCCUUAUACAGAGAGGAAGACUGCAAGUAAAGACAAUGGAACGUCUGUCAAAUGAGAAUUCAUCUCCACAACCUCCUCCUUGGACGACUUCUCUCCCAAGGUUGAAUGCAUGAUUGAAGACGAGCCAUCAGCGGUGGGAGAUGGAAGAGGAACUGUCGAUGGGACCAAUGUGCAUGGUUUAGUCAAUAACUGAAGUCAGAAAAAGGAAGCUGAUCCACCUAGCAAAACGAAAACUUCAAAGUUUUAAAAUAGAGUGAAAGAUAAUUUUCUGAGAAGGGAGUCACUCUAUCUCCAGGUAAGUUCACUGCAAAUAAACUGAAACCACUUCAC